UGCCUUGCUUUUCCCUAAACUGUCCUCUGCUUCCUGACAGCAGGAAGGGGAAGUGGAACAUUUACACACUUUCUUUUUUGUCCCUUUUUUUUUUUUUUUUUUUUUUAAAAGUGUUUACAUAUAGAAGCAGUGAUGAGCAAAAUGGGACUCUGAAUCUAGUUUGUCAGAAUAUUACUUUUACUAACAUCUCAUUAGCAAAUAAUAUUUCAUUGCAACAAAACUAAUUUAAACCAAAUUUGGCACAGUUAAAAUACAGACUUUCUUUAUUUGAAUUUUAAGUGUGGCUUAUAAUGUUCUAAAAGUUGACCUUUCCAGAAUGGAUGGAUUUCUCUUUGCAGGACUGGAGCUCCAUGCUUAUGAAAGAGCAUGUGCUCAAAGUAGAGCUUACAAAGGACUGAGAAUAAUAAAGUUAAGUUUGAGGCUUCCUGUGUUCUCGGAGUAGGGAUCAGAGGAGCUGUUAAAUCUACUUUAACAAACCUGUUAAACCUACUGUUUGAAUGUGUUGGAACAGAUUCUGCCCCAAGAGAAGGCUCAUAGAGGAGAGCAGAGCAGGAGUGGUUUGGCUUGGGAGCAGAGUUGGGGCAGUGUAAGCAGUGCUGAGCUGCUUCCUGCCAUGGGCUCCAGCUUUGGUGUCACGGGAGGAGGAGGCACUGGCACUGGCACUGGCACUGGCACUGGCACUGGCAGGACCCCAAGGCUGUCUUGCAGCCCAUGAACAGCUGUGGAAUGGAGGAAGGAAGACAAUUCAGCUGCAAGAAGGACUGUGGUUCUAGAGAGAUGGCAGUGACUGCGCAUGCCACGGCACACGGCACGAUAGCCUGGGCUGCAUGGCCAGGCCCCUCUGCCCCCAUCACUGGAUUUCCACAGGGACAUCAGGGCUGCUCUUGCUUUUUUAGAUAAAACAUAGCAAAGCUUUGUUCCAGUGUGUUCAGAGCUGCUUUUCUGAACAACACAAAGUUCAGAUUUGAGGUUUGACUCUCCGUGACAUCUGUGCCUUGUUCAGUCACUCAGGUAGCUCGUAAAAACUUGCACCAGGUGUUUUAUUCCAGGGCAGUGGUACCUCCAACACUGUAAUAGUUUCUGGAGAACAUUCUGGCUGCCCUGGUCUGCACCUUAUCUUGCUUAAACACAGUGAUGCUCAAAGGCAGGACAAGAGCUGUAAGAUGGAAACUGGUUGAGAAGCUUUGUGCUUCCCUCCCAGUCUUGGUGCUCUGUGCUCAGCUGGGCACGUGUGAGAUUUGUGUCCUGUUGGACUGCUGGGGGCCUUGAAGAAUCAAUGUUUCAAUGGAAUAUUUGCCCUGGCCUUUCCAUGUUCACAUGACAAAUCCUGAUGUUACAGAAGAACACCUCUAAUGUCUGCUCCAUGGAAUUGGAUAUCCAGCUUCUUUUGUCGUUAUCCAUUCUGGGUUUGGGUGAGGGAAUAAUGAAGGCUGGUUGUAUCCAAGAAGGAAUAAAAGAAGAAAAGGACA